ACCGGCACCCAAUCAGAUCUAUCACCGGCGUUUCAACUUCCGUUUACCUCCAAAACGGCGCCGUCAGGAUAGCAUAUUAAUUGCCAUGGCUGCCACUGCAACUGCCUCUGCUGGUCCUCGAUAUGCUCCAGAAGAACCAUGAAAAGGAUUGGUUGAUUGUAAAACUGGGUAUCUUUACUUUUGGAACCCUGAGACCAAUGUGACUCAAUAUGAUAGGCCUACAAGCUCAGCUCCUCCAUCAAAGGCUUCUUCUGCACAGUAUUUAAGUUCUUCAGUUCAAGUUCAAUAAUCUUCUCAAGGACAAUGUCGUGAUGAGGGAGAUGAUAAGUAUGGGAAGGGCAGCAAUGGUGGAUCAAAAUUUGAGGCAGGACUGAGGAAUGUGCAGAGUUCAAGAAGUGCACCAGUUUCUUCUAACAAUGGUCCAAGUGGGUCAGUUAGUGCACAUGGAGUAUCUGUUAUUAGAGGAAAUGGACCAUCAAACACUGGAAGUGGUUUGUCUGCUGAGGCUUAUUGUCGCCAGUAUGAAAUAACUGUUAUUGGUGAUAAUGUGCCCCCACCGUUUACUUCUUUUGAAGCUAUGAGCUUCCCGUCUGAAAUUCUUAGAGAGGUAUUGACAUUUGCUUUAAUUAUGAAGAACAUUUCCAACCAAGAUAUAUAUGCAUUAUAUUAUGAAGAACAUUUUGGAAUCAAGGAUGAAAGUUCUAGCUUUGUUGAAUUUUUGAAAUGCUAAAUUGCUCCCAUGUUAGCAGAAGUGGUUUGGUUUCUACUUUGUUAUUAAGGGUACCAG